AAGUCGAACGAACUCUGGUAUUGAUUGGUGCUUGCAUCAUGAUUUACAUUUGAGUGAGUGGCGAACUGGUGAGUAACACGUGGGAAACCUGCCCAGAAGCGGGGGAUAACACCUGGAAACAGAUGCUAAUACCGCAUAACAACUUGGACCGCAUGGUCCGAGUUUGAAAGAUGGCUUCGGCUAUCACUUUUGGAUGGUCCCGCGGCGUAUUAGCUAGAUGGUGGGGUAACGGCUCACCAUGGCAAUGAUACGUAGCCGACCUGAGAGGGUAAUCGGCCACAUUGGGACUGAGACACGGCCCAAACUCCUACGGGAGGCAGCAGUAGGGAAUCUUCCACAAUGGACGAAAGUCUGAUGGAGCAACGCCGCGUGAGUGAAGAAGGGUUUCGGCUCGUAAAACUCUGUUGUUAAAGAAGAACAUAUCUGAGAGUAACUGUUCAGGUAUUGACGGUAUUUAACCAGAAAGCCACGGCUAACUACGUGCCAGCAGCCGCGGUAAUACGUAGGUGGCAAGCGUUGUCCGGAUUUAUUGGGCGUAAAGCGAGCGCAGGCGGUUUUUUAAGUCUGAUGUGAAAGCCUUCGGCUCAACCGAAGAAGUGCAUCGGAAACUGGGAAACUUGAGUGCAGAAGAGGACAGUGGAACUCCAUGUGUAGCGGUGAAAUGCGUAGAUAUAUGGAAGAACACCAGUGGCGAAGGCGGCUGUCUGGUCUGUAACUGACGCUGAGGCUCGAAAGUAUGGGUAGCAAACAGGAUUAGAUACCCUGGUAGUCCAUACCGUAAACGAUGAAUGCUAAGUGUUGGAGGGUUUCCGCCCUUCAGUGCUGCAGCUAACGCAUUAAGCAUUCCGCCUGGGGAGUACGGCCGCAAGGCUGAAACUCAAAGGAAUUGACGGGGGCCCGCACAAGCGGUGGAGCAUGUGGUUUAAUUCGAAGCUACGCGAAGAACCUUACCAGGUCUUGACAUACUAUGCAAAUCUAAGAGAUUAGACGUUCCCUUCGGGGACAUGGAUACAGGUGGUGCAUGGUUGUCGUCAGCUCGUGUCGUGAGAUGUUGGGUUAAGUCCCGCAACGAGCGCAACCCUUAUUAUCAGUUGCCAGCAUUAAGUUGGGCACUCUGGUGAGACUGCCGGUGACAAACCGGAGGAAGGUGGGGAUGACGUCAAAUCAUCAUGCCCCUUAUGACCUGGGCUACACACGUGCUACAAUGGAUGGUACAACGAGUUGCGAACUCGCGAGAGUAAGCUAAUCUCUUAAAGCCAUUCUCAGUUCGGAUUGUAGGCUGCAACUCGCCUACAUGAAGUCGGAAUCGCUAGUAAUCGCGGAUCAGCAUGCCGCGGUGAAUACGUUCCCGGGCCUUGUACACACCGCCCGUCACACCAUGAGAGUUUGUAACACCCAAAGUCGGUGGGGUA
rnacentral:rRNA from 1 species